GGCUGUGCUGACCCCUGCGAAUUUCCCCAAAAUGUGGAAAUCUUGAUUGCAUAAUUUCUGGUAGUGGGGGGACUGCGUUCGCGCUCUCCCCUG
rnacentral:snRNA from 8 species